rnacentral:rRNA from 1 species
GACGAACGCUGGCGGCGUGCUUAACACAUGCAAGUCGAACGGAAAGGCCUCUUUCGGGGGGUACUCGAGUGGCGAACGGGUGAGUAACACGUGAGUAACCUGCCCUUGACUUUGGGAUAACUUCAGGAAACUGGGGCUAAUACCGGAUAGGAGCUCCUGCUGCAUGGUGGGGGUUGGAAAGUUUCUGCGGUUGGGGAUGGACUCGCGGCUUAUCAGCUUGUUGGUGGGGUAGUGGCUUACCAAGGCUUUGACGGGUAGCCGGCCUGAGAGGGUGACCGGCCACAGUGGGACUGAGAUACGGCCCAGACUCCUACGGGAGGCAGCAGUGGGGAAUAUUGCACAAUGGGUGGAAGCCUGAUGCAGCAACGCCGUGUGCGGGAUGACGGCCUUCGGGUUGUAAACCGCUUUCGCUCAUGACGAAGCUUUGUGUGACGGUAGUGGGUAAAGAAGCACCGGCUAACUACGUG